rnacentral:lncRNA from 1 species
UUUCUUUCUCUUUCAUCCAUUUCAAUUAGCUAACAUAAGAACUAAAUAGAGAGAAAGAGAGAGAAGGGAGGCAAAUUUCGACAGCCAUGAGUAGUAGAAGGGAGGGAGUUUGAUUUUUCAUAUCAACACUUCAUCUCAUAUGUUUGGAGGAGAAAAUUUUGAACAAAGGUAUUUAACCCUUUUGUUUAUAUAAUUUUAUUUUGAUUAUUCUUAAUCAAACCUUGAAUUUAUAUUUCUAAACUUAAAACCCAUGAAUAUACAUGUUUAUGAGUGUUUCAUGUUUAGAUAUACCCAUAUUGGGUGUUAAUUUGUUUGGAAAUCAAAAAUAAAGAAAAGUGAUUUUUAUAGUUUAUAAACCUUAAAAUUUCUAUGUACUUUGGAUUUCCACCGUUUUUGAUCUACACAUUCUUUUUGUGAUCCGUCAAAGAAAGGUACUAGAUAUGUAAGUUAGCUACAAAACCCAAGUGGUAGAACUCAAAAAUGUUGAGUACACAGUCCAUAAUAACUGAUUUAGCAAAAACAGUUUUGUGUCUUUUAAGAAAAACUGGACUGUUUUGGACAGUCAAAGGGUAGGGGCAGUUUAGUCAUUUUUCCGACAUCUAAAAAUUCUGGAAAAAUUUGGGAGGAUACUAUGAUAAGUUAUCUAGCAUCUCCAAGUAGAAUCACUGAAAAAGGAGUUGUAGAUUUCCGUAUGGAAAAUGUUUAACAAAGCACGAAAAAACUGCAAAAUGACAUUUCGCUGCUGCGAAAGACUUUCCAGGGGCUGUUUCGGCAACUUAGUUUGUGAGAAAAAUUCCGGCCUUUUGGGACAUGAAAAUAUAUGGUAUUAAGUACCUACUGUCCAAAAAUGAGCUCAUUCUGACUUAAAAUGACCAAGUUAUGACCAUUUCAAUUUCUGUGAUUUUCCGACGAAAAUCGCUAUAACCGGAGUUCUAUAAAUCCGAUUGCCACGAAAUUUUAAUUGGAGUAUCACGUUAACACGUAUAAAAUUGUGUCAAGAGAUGGGAAAUUCUGGAGUUAAGCACGAGGUAGCUAAUUUCUUAAGGAAUUUACUAAAACUGAUUUUUGAAAAAUACCAAAGGAAAUUGGAAAAUUUUGGGAAAAUACUUUUUGUGUAUGAUUUAUAUGUAUAUGUGUUUGGACAAGGGAUAGAAAAAUAAUAAGUUGAUUUGGUAUUUUCGUGAAAAGGAUAUGUAAUCCAGCUUGCUGGAUUGAAAAAUCUGAUGAAUCCAACUUGCUGGAUUGAAAAAUAGUUUACUAAAUUGAAAAUAUGUUGAAUCUAGUUUGCUGGAUUGCAAUCUAGUCACUGGAUGUGAUAUCCAGUUUGCUGGAUUACAGUUUAGUUUGUUGGAUUGGCCAUCUAGAUACUGGAUUUAGAAUCCAGCUUGCUGGAUUCCAAAUCUGGGUUGCUGGAUUGGUAUUUGACUUAUAUGUUCAAGAAAAACUUAUUAUAUAUGUGAUUAAAGUAUUUAAAUCAUAUAACUAUGAUAGUAAUGAUUGAAAAAUCAUAAUAAAUGGUAAUAAUUAUUUUAAAAUUAUUACGAGCUUAUGAAAAUUAUUUCGUCUGUUAAUAAAUUAUCUUCGUUAAUUGUUAAGUGUUUAGGCAGAGUUUAAUUGAACUUAGACUCGAUAAAAGUCCGACUAGACUGUCGGGACGUUAGAAUUUGUGUCGGUUACAAGUCAUACUGAAAUAGUUUGACUUGAUACUGGGUCUUAUGUGUGUUAUAGACUGAUAGGGUUAUGUGUUAUGUGUUUAGGUUAUUCUAUGUUUAUAUAUAUUAUAGUAUUAUAUUGUGAUGAUAUUAUUCUAAUAUUGGAGAUCUAUAUUACUAAUAUUAGGUCUUCGGAUAAAGCGAUAUAAAUUGCGUAGCGGUAAUCAACGGUUCAGGCAAGUUUGUUUUAUUCGGUUAAGCUUAUGGUUAAUCAUUGAUGAUUGCCAUGUAUAAUUGUACUCUGUACAGAUUACAUGUAUAAGUCAGGUAUGAAAGGUUGAUCACCUUCAUUACCAGUUGGUUUCAGAUAUAUUUGUUCAUUUAUAAUACUUGUUCAGUCAUAAAUUUGUUCCUGCUAGUUCACAAUUAUAUUGUUGAAUUAUAGCCAGCCAAUUAUUCAAAUCAUUUCAAUCAUGAUAUAUCGUUAUAUUGUUGAAUUUAAACUUGCUGGGCAACUUUCAUGCUCACGCUUGUUAUAUCAUGAUAAAACAUUGCAGAUUAAGACGAAUGCAUCGGAUACAAGGACAGGUUAAAGACAGUUCCAGCGUUAGGAUAUGUGUGCAGCUAAAUUGUAUAAGUAUUGUAUGUUAAUAAUGUUAUGUGUUAGAAAAGGUAUGAAAUGUGUAUUAAGUUAAGGUUACUCGACCUUGG